AGGACGAACGCUGGCGGCGUGCUUAACACAUGCAAGUCGAGCGGAAAGGCCCUUCGGGGUACUCGAGCGGCGAACGGGUGAGUAACACGUGGGCAACCUGCCCUUAGCUCUGGGAUAGCUCCGGGAAACCGGAAUUAAUACCGGAUAUGACCUAGGCCGACAUCGGCUGUGGUGGAAAGUUUUUCGGCUAGGGAUGGACUCGCGGCCUAUCAGCUAGUUGGUGGGGUAAUGGCCUACCAAGGCGACGACGGGUAGCCGGCCUGAGAGGGCGACCGGCCACACUGGGACUGAGACACGGCCCAGACUCCUACGGGAGGCAGCAGUGGGGAAUCUUGCGCAAUGGGCGAAAGCCUGACGCAGCGACGCCGCGUGGGGAUGAAGGCCUCGGGUUGUAACCCUUUCAGCAGGACGAAGCGAAAGUGACGGUACCUGCAGAAGAAGCGCCGGCUAACUACGUGCCAGCAGCCGC
rnacentral:rRNA from 1 species